AAGGCUAUACUUUACAAGAUCAUUUCAGUAGUUAGUCUUUAUUUACAUUUUUUGGAAACCGACCCGCGAUGACGAGGUAUAUCGUUUUAUCUGACAGCGUGAGGUAUGAGAAGUUCAUUUCUAAUUUUGUCUUGUGGCAUAUUAGAAAUGAUGUUCCUUCGAAAAUAGUUCGCUUAAUGAAUAAAUUCCUUUAUGUUGAAAUGCUCUGCGUUGG